AGAAUCCAAGGGUGACCUUUGUACCUAACACUAAAAACAAUGUCACCACUAGCACCACCACCGCAGGAAACAGGGGAAGAACAGCCCUAAUUGACGUCACCGCAGCGACACGUCAUCUCGAAUCAAUCUUAAAUCUCCGUCUUUCAGAUCUCCUCACACUUGUCCUCGUACAUUCCGAAUCAGAUCACAUGUUGUCAAAACACUUGCACUUUGGCCGCUCAGCUAGGUCUCCCUCCAAUCAGGUAUUUCCUGCCCCUGCUGAUAGAGAAAGGAUUAAGGCAUGUCUAUCAGAGUUGGGAGAGAUGAGCGAUGUCUUGAAGAAAGUUUUAGUUUCUGGUUUAGAGCAGCUUGUAGGUACAGUCACACACUGAAUUCAACCCGUGUUAGACAGUGUUGCACCGUAAUUAGUUACAAGCUCUUCGAAGCUGAAUAUGUAGAAAAUGAGGUAAAUGAUCCAUGGGUCCAGAGACGACUUCAUGCUGUUGAGACUAACUCAGGAUGGCUCCAGUCUCUAGUGACAACCAACUAUGACUCGUUUGUUCAUUUGGUGAUCAACUUUAUUGUAAAAAGGCUUGAAUCUAUUACGGUGCAAAGAGGAUUUAGUCAGCUUGGACGUCUGCUGCUUGACCGAGACACGAGGGCUCUAGUUAGCCGUUUCUCAGGCAUAACCCAAAGGACUGUUAGGGAGAUAGGAGAGUUUUGUGUUGGUUUAUUUAAAUCUGAAAGCUACAUCAUUGCUGCUGAUUAUAUAGUAUAUUUACUAUAUGAAAAGAGCCUAUGUUCAUUCAGAACCGCUGUACUUAACUCUUUGUUUCUCAAACGAUUGUACUUUCAUGAAUAUAUACCAUGAAAAGUUACACUAUGAAACCUUUUUCUGCGUCCAUCUGUACUUGUUUUUCCUGAAUUUCCAUCGGAUCAGAUUUUUUUUGGUACGCUUGCAGGCAGGAUUAGUAAUUUUGUUGAAAGCUCGCAAGUGAUGGCUCAUUGCAAAAGUUUGACGAUUCAUCUUGAUAGAGUCUCUGCGUUUUGACUUUUGAGUUGCUAAGGAUGGAGCAUGUCGGGAGUAAAAAUUUUGUCUUCAUCGAAGGGACAUACAGAAUGAGCCACGGAUGUUACAUUUUCUUCAACAAACAACCACAUUGGAACUGCUUCUGCUGAUCGCACUGCAAGGUUAUGGAACACCGAAGGACGUCUGCUUAGUACAUACAAGGUUAUUUGGAUCGUCUAGCUCAUGUUGCUUUCCAUCCAUCAGCAAGUAUUUGGGUACAACCAGUUUUGACAAGACAUGGAGAUUAUGGGAUACAGAGACUGGUGAGUAGUUGCUUAUCCAAGAAGGUUAUAGUCGAAGCGUUAUUGGCUUUUCACCCUGAUGCCUCUUUAACAGCAUCUUGUGGCCUUGAUGCACAUGCACUUGCUCAUGUAUGGGACUUAGGGUCAGGGAGAAGCAUUCUAGCCUUGGAAGGUCAUGUGAAGCCGGUCCUUGAGAUUAGUUUCUUGCCCAAUGGCUAUUAUUUAGCAACAGGAGGUGAAGAUAAUACUUGUAGAAUCUGGGAUUUGAGGAAAAAGAGAUCAUUGUACACAAUUCCUGCCCAUGCUAGUCUUAUUUCUCAAAUUAAAUUCGAGCCUCAAGAGGGAUAUCCGUGGUACUGCGUCGUAUAAUACGACAACUAAGGUAUGGUAAUCCAGAGAUAUUAAGCCAUUAGGUCCUUUCUGGUCAUGAAGCUAAGGUUUCGUCUCUCAAUGUAGCCGGAGGUAAUAUUCGUAUUCUUGGCCUAGUUUUGCUGGUAUGAAGUUUGUUUUGACCUGCUAUGGAUAACACUAAUACGCCUACCGGUGACAAUACGGGCUAUUGGACAACUCCUCAAGAUAGUUUUAAAUUGAAAUGGACCAUUAUUUUGGUAUUUAUGUCUUCUGCAGUUGGACACAACUUUACUAGUAAAGUUGGAAGAAUCUUGACCCUUGGAUUAAAAUCAAGGGUCAAGAUUCAAAAAUAAUGUUGACCCUUGAUUUUAAUCCAAGAGUCUAGAUUUUGUCUGGUGGAUCUCAAAUUCUCAAUCCUUUAUUUUGUUUGUGUGUUUCAUCACCGAGUUGUCCAAGUUCGGAUUACAUUGGGGUUUCUUUAGAUGUAGAUGACGUUUUGGUCCUCUU